AAGAAGUUAGUUAAAAUUUUAAUAAUAUUGAACUGUCAAAUCAAAGUAAUAUCUUUUACUUCUUA
rnacentral:tRNA from 1 species